UGUAACGUAAUAAAAGCUUUAGGUGUUUAAAGCGUAAACUAACGCUCACACCUGUAAUGUAAUGAAAGAAUAAAAUAAUAUGUUAGUAGAAUUUAAAUUCAGAGAGGUGAGGACUCCUACCUUAGAAAACUUAUGAGAUUUUUCUCUCUGGUCGAACACAGUGAACUCUCUUGAGCCGAAUUUUUAUCGGAAGCUCCCUCUCAAAUAUUUGUGUGUAAGUGAAAUCAUCUUCCUAAAAAAUAGUCUGUUUUUAAUAAAUAGUGAUAUUUCCGUCCAGAGUCUUUAUUUUAUAAGUUUUGUGUGUAAGUGACCUCAUUGUCUCGAAAAAUAAUCCAUUCUUUUUAAAAAUGAAAUGAAAUAAUUAUUUUCUUAUUAUCAUGAAUUUUAGGCACGAUAAAUUUUAU
rnacentral:lncRNA from 1 species